UGCGUGGAGGCUCCACAACCCAGGCUGCUCCGGCUGCGGGAGUGUCCUCGCGAGAACACUGGGGUCCAGCUGGCCUGCGGCAUGAAGGAGUGUUUUGUCUGGAACAAAGGAUUUGGGCAAAAAAUGGUGUGGCCACUUGCCGCUGACGAACUGCAAAGGCAGAGACAGGAGCGGUGUGGACAGCGAUCUCUCUCAGGGAGGCCAGCGCCGGGAAGACGGCGACUCACGUCUCACAGACUGCGGAGCUUGGAGCAUCCUUCCAGGUUUCCGUAAGGAGACUGCGGGACAGAGUCAGUGGGGACACGCAGCUGGACGUAAAGGGCAGGGGCCUCCAGGAGUGGUCAGGUGGCAGCACUUAGAAUCGGAGCUUCCAUCCCAAGGCACGACAGAGCCUCAGACAGAGCCCAGCCGGUCUCCAUGUUUUCAUUCCGUCUGUAACACACAUCAAUGCAGGGAUUUACUGCUGUGUAUACAUGAAGUGACGAGUCUGGUCAGGACGCAGCGACCCACUGGAUCUGGUGGUGACAGAGCAGCACUGGUUGAACUUCAACCCGCCGCCUUCUUUCUUGUGGGUCCGACCAAGAGAAUGGUGGUGUUGUGUGUGCUCCCUGAGAACAGUCAGAGGCUCUCUGCUCUUCAGGGGGUCCAAGGACACGCCCCCGACUGCCCCUCCAGGCUCCAGCGCCACCUCAGGAGAGAACGUGACACCCCUCUGUGCAACAUCUCAGUACUAGGAAAUCUUCAAUCCGUCUAAAGAGGGAAGAAGUGCCUCUCCUCAGGACCGUCCACACAGGACCGUAACGCCUUCCCGCUCUCCCGUGACUCUUGCCCAUGGGGUGUCUACAGAUGCUACGGUCCUUCUAAAAUCUACCCCACAGCUGGUCACCGCCUAGCAACCCUGGCAGUCCCACCUGCAGAUGGGGGUGACCGACCGUCAUCACUAGCUGACAGGGACGGAAAAGGGAAAGGAAGGGCCAUACUGGUUUCUUCAUUCAAGACCAUUUCCAUCACCCACAGAGGAUUCUGGGACCACAGCAGUGUCUCUCAUUAGCCACCAACACAAUGGAGAAUGCAGACAACUUACAGAAGGAGGUCCAGGAUGGGUUAUGAUCAGGAUCCUCUAAGGCUGUGGGCUAUGCAGGCAGGCCGGCUCAGGUGUCUUGGUAGAUGGAGGUGGAGUUCUGUAGGCCACAACUUUCCUGGCUGGCGGAGGGUUUCAUGGAGGGGAUCGUUCCAAGCAUGGGGAGCAGAGGGGGAUGCACAGGUGUGAGACAAGCAUGCCUGGUGCAUUCUGGGAACUACAGACUAGCUGUGGGAGGGUGCAUGGGUUACGGACGGAAAGAUCGACACAAGGAAGCAGGGACCUGAGGACAAGAUGGCAGGGACAGAGCAGGGAAGAGGGUAGCGAGGACUGGAGAAGUCUGUGCAUGACCAGCCAGCAGGCAGGGGUGCCGGGUGGAAUAAAAAUAAUCGACUUUAGGUGUUCAGUAUCUGCUGAUGGCUCCUAUCUGAGCACUCCCAUCACAACUGCUCCUGUGGGUUUCAUGACCGCGGAUUAUUGGACAUUGACUCAGACACCUGUUGGGCAUCUCAGCAGGCUCUUAAUCAGUCCACCUGCUCCUGAAAAUGGAUACCUUCCCAUUGUGAUCGGGAUCGUGGCCAUCAUUGUCUUACUUCUCUGCUUCCUCUCCUGCCAAUGUUGGCAUCGGGACAAACACAGGAUGUUCUGAAGGUGGGAGGGUUAGCCCCUCCCCUGGUGGAUCUCCUGCCAAGACUCUGAUACUGACUUUCCUUAGGGAACACUGAUGGUGAGACCAAGAACCAGGUGAAGUGUAACAGCUCCUUCCCAGUCAUGGACUUCCAGGAAGAAAAUCAAUGUGAUGUCUUGGAGGACAGCCAGCCUGAGAAGGACAGACAGAAGGGCUGGCAGGGGCGCCUCUCAUCACCUCCCUCCUCCCGGGCCCCAGUCACUUCUCCAGGUGCCCUCCUCACUCUGUGCCUCCACGCUGACAGUCUCUACAGAGGAAGUCCCCCCAGGAGGUGACCGAUGCUCAGCUGCAUCAGGACGCCCUCAGGGGGACCAUGGACAGACGAUUCUCCCCCCCCUCUGAGGGUUCCUCUGGCCAGCCCCGUGUGUCCGCCACCCUCAUCCUGUCCUGAGUGCAGAGCCAGGACUGGCCGUGUACACUGCAGUGCUGAAGAAGCCCUUAGGGAAGGCCAGGUCUGUGGCGUGUCCUGCUCAUGUUACUCAGCAGAAGCCAUCACCUUGGAGCUCCCCAAAGAUUUAAGACUGGAGCCAAUUUUCAACUGUCAAGCAAUUCUGGGCCUCAUCAAGUAUCUCUCAACAGAUUCCUGGUCCCUUGUGCAUUUACCUGUUCAAGAAAUGUUUACAGACGUGAACUCCUCCCCUGGGUCCGCGCUGGGGAUACACACAUCACGAAGAUAGAGCUUCCUGUCUCGAGGACUCAUGACCUACCGAGCGAGGCAAGCCCGUGAUGUGACCCUUGCAAAGCAAAGGGCGUGGCCUGCAGGAGCAGGUGUGAGAUGCUCUGGGUCACCGAGCAGACGCCAUGUCCACGGACGCUUAAAGAGCCCUCACUGGCGUCAAAUACAAGAGGUCAAGAAAUAAGGGUCAGUCUGGGCAGAGGGCAUUCUUAAUGCGUCUGGUACAACGUUCUAGGUGUCGCCGAGAGCUGAGCCUUCCAAGCGCUGCCCGUGGAUAAGGAAGCGUCUUUGUGAGGGAACCAAAGGAAUUUGGCCACAGGAGGGGUGGGUCCCUCCUGGGGAGGGGAGGGGGCAAAGGGCGUUUCGAGGAGGAUUUAUGGUUUCUUCCUGGUUUUGAUGAAUUUCUCUUUUUCAGUUAUGUCAUUAAAAUAAAUAGAACAUAGUUUGAAAAGAGAUCUGAAGGAGAGGAGAGGCCCUAAAGCUGGUGCUAACAGUAACUGUUCCAGUAAAGUCUGACAAAGGGGAGCAGAGCAGACAGGCGCGGUUGGAACCCGCGAGGUGGUC